rnacentral:ribozyme from 1 species
AGAAUUAAAGAUCAUUGAAGAAACAAAACAGAAGCUCCAAAAGUCGAAAAAGAAGAACAAAUCAUAAGAGCUUUCUUUGGCCUUUAUUUUUCUCUUCUCUUCUCUUCUCUUUAUU